UACGUAGGGUGCGAGCGUUGUCCGGAAUUAUUGGGCGUAAAGAGCUCGUAGGCGGUCUGUCGCGUCGAUCGUGAAAACUUGGGGCUUAACCCUGAGCUUGCGGUCGAUACGGUCAUGACUGGAGUUCGGCAGGGGAGACUGGAAUUCCUGGUGUAGCGGUGAAAUGCGCAGAUAUCGUUUGGAACGCCAACGGUGAAAACAGACAGCUGGGAGUGUGCUGACGCUGAGACACGAAAGCCAGGGGAGCGAACGGG
rnacentral:rRNA from 1 species